GGCACAGCGGCGGACGGAGGGACUGCGGACGGAGUGCUGCGGGCACCGUGCGGACAGACUUCAGGUGAUCGGCUCACUGCUCCAACCACCCCGGUAGCCCUGUUACCUGAGGCUUCCUCUGGCUCACAAACCCUCUGAAGGCCGUCCUGGGACGAGGCACACCAUACAAAGGAAGCAGGCUGGUCACUGGGCAGGCGGGCAGCACAGCACGCGUCCAGGUCCUCUUCCCAUCUUCUCAAAGGCCUGAUGAUGUGCCCUGUGCGCCCGCACUGCAUGGCCUGCUCGCUUCGGGAAAGCUGAACAAGUGCCAUGCUUCCUGGAACCUGGCCGGGGGUGGGGGCGGGAGUGGGUGAGCGCCAAGCCACCACCUCCACGUCUGCCCGGGCCUGGCACGCACUCCGAGACUCUGAGCAGCAGACCAGCUGCAGGCGCCCCCGGGGGUCUGGGCCCAGCAUCCGGGCAGGGAAAGGGGGCAACAGGAUUUUGCCCAGGGGUCUCAGCAGGCACAAAGGAGCACCUCUUGGGCCCAGCUAUGGGGAGAGAGGGGCCGUGGGGGGAUUUAGGGUUCAGGCUCUGCAGAGCGGGUGACGGAGAGCUGCUCACAGCCAGCACCUCUGGGGGCACCAUGGAACUUGAGGCUCCUUGCGAGGCCGCUGGGCAUAGGUGUCCGGGAGGCAGCUGGACACGCGGUUCCGCGACCCCAGGACAGGCUGGGCUCCAGCUGCCGUCAGGGGAGCUCUCCGGCUGAACGGGGAAAUGUCACCAGGGAGGAGGGUCCCCCAUGCCCCGUGACCCAGAGGUCGGGAGGUCAAAUCGGAAAUACGUUUGUGGGGUUUGGCAGUUGGGGUCCGAGGUCACCUCAGCAAGAGCUGCGGAGCGGGGGCGAGGGCGCGUGGGGCCGAGCCUUCUCCUGAGACCCCGUGUGAGGCUUUGGGGAGCUGCGGGAGGCGAGGACAGGUGUGGAACCAGGACGUGGACUGGCUCCUGGGGCUGGGAGGGAACAGUUACCGCAGUCCGGGAGGCUUCAAACAACAGACCCUUAUUCUUCCACAGUUGAGGGGCCAGAAUCUGGAAUCAGUGCUUCUGGCGUUUGGUGGCGAUGCUGGGUUUUGGGGCCUGAAGCUGCAUGCCUCCAGUCUGCUUCUGUUGGCUGGGCGUCCUGCCCUGUCUGUCUUCCUGUGAGGACACAGUCGUGUUGGAAUAAGGGCCUCUCUACACCAGUGUGACCUCACCUUAACCUUAAUUUAAUUACAUCUGCAAAGACCCUAUUUCCAGAGGCCAUGGCCCAGAGGACACGGGGCCAGGGUGGGCAGAGGGGGACACAGCCGGGCUGAGGUGGGAGACUUAGGACAGAGGGCAGGGAUCUGGCUGAAGCCCGGUGGGGAGCCAGGAGGGAGCAGAGGCCAGGGCAGCA